rnacentral:pre_miRNA from 1 species
GUAAUACUCCCUCCGUCCGGAAAUACUUGUCAUCAAAAUGGAUAAAAGGGGAUGUAUCUAGAUGUAUUUUAGUUCUAGAUACAUCUCUUUUUAUCCAUUUUGAUGACAAGUAUUUUCGGACGGAGGGAGUACUGU